GGUGGGGGGUUGCAAGCCCGAGGAGCGGUGGCAUCCGCUGCAUGAUGCAAAAAGAAGGAUUGAUUUCAAAAGUUGCGAGUGGCCCUGGCAGCAGCCUUUGGCGCCCGGGCCACCGACUUUUUCCCGACCCGCCGGAAGCGCCGGGAAGGUUUUUUCCGCCCCCCGCACGCAACCUGGCGGGGCUGCGGCCGCGGGAUGCGCGGUACCUGCUCCGCGAGCGCCGCGGUCGGAGCGCGCGGGGAGACAAUGCCUGUGGGCACGGCCUGCAGUCCGGAGCCUAGGAGGCGAACCAGAAAGCCCUGGACGCUCGGUCCACGCGGACUCCCACGCCCUCGCCCUCCCAUUGUUCCGCGUGGCCCGCGGGUUCCUUGGCGCCUUCGUGAACUACGCGAAUGUCGCGCGGAGUUCCUCGAACGUUGCCUGGGCUUGGGAGGAAGUCUCGAGAAAAAUCCACAGCUUUCCCCGUUACAUUGUUUGUCCCUCACGUGUCCGAGUAAACAUGGCAGCCCCCGGGCCGUACGUGCUUGAAUUGACCAAGGCUGGGGCCGGGGAGAACUUCUCGGGGUGUCGUCUUUCUCCUGAGUUGUUGAGGGAACUAACGCAAAAAAUGCCUUCAGACGGCAUGUUUCAGGCAACUGACUGGUGUGGAGGAACAUCGACAAACUUUUCUGGAAUGUGCUGGCAUUUUCCAAAUUCUUUGGGGAUGGACAUAGGGACCUUUUACAUAAAAGGGUAACCCAGCCAGGCAUUAUGGGGGCGCAUCAGGUUUGAAGGCUCUGCGGAUGCCCUAUUCUCAAAAAAAAUUUCUAUUUGCCAGUUCCCACCCUGGAUUUGAAACAAGAUGCGGGUGCAAAGGGAUGCCACCUUGAUGCCAGGCGCCUCCUGCCUUUGUGUCCUUUCUCCUCACCACCCCCCCUCCCGCAAUCAGCUUGCAAUGCGUUAAGACCAGCGUGGCCCUGCGGUUGACAAGCCACACUGCAGGACGUCAGGGAAAGAGGAGCCAGGCCUUCGAUCUUCUCUUUCAGAAAUUGAUUUUGCCUUUUGGACCAUGUGAGUUAGGGAGGGAGGAAGAGCUUAAGCGCUCCCCCCCCCAAAAAAAAAUAUUUAAUAAUAGGAAAAAAAGAUUUUGAUGGGCGGGGAAGGGGAAGCAGUAGAGGCCAAUGCUGCCUCCAGAUUUUUUUUUUUUUUUUUUUUGUAAGUUGCUUGCUUUGCUGGUGACAAUAUUGGAGGAUGCUCUGACUUCUACAGGGACCCAUUCCUAAUUAAGAGGAGUCCUACUGAAAGCAGGGGGAGUGCAGCAGAGGAUUUGCUGGGCUUUGCAAAGGAGAGGAAGCAGCAGAAAAAGAUUCCUUCCUGGCUCCAAGACUUCUAGUUUGGGAGGACUGAGUGGACAGAGCUGCCACUGACGAUGCCAGAAUUACUGGAAAGUGAAACACGUUUAGGGGCUGAGUUUGUGUUUGGAAAGGUUCAAUUCCUGGCUUGCCAGAGAGUUGUUGCAAAAGGGAAUUGAGAUAGCCCGAAGAAGAGAGGCUGCAGGGAAAAAGUAGAGGAGAGCUUGGACAAAGCUCUGCAGAAUGAAAUCAAAAGGCUGGGGCGCCCAGAGACCCUUCGAUGGAGCUCCUCCUUGCCCAGUUGCCCUGACUGGACCUCCAAAACCACCCAGGUGGAGACCGUGUUGACCAACCCACAGAUGCAUUGACUGAUCUGGAGCCAGCAUAUACACUCUUGGGCUCAGGUCAUCCAGCAGACCCUUCAUCCCUUUGUCACACAAGCCCCUCCCACAGGUACUGCUUGCCUCUCUGUUUCCUCUCUGUCACCUGGCAGCCUGCAUCCUCCCCAAUCCAGGGAGCCACCUGCCCUGGUUCUCAGGUUCUGAUGGCUCAAUCUGAGUUAGGGUUCUCCUGGGUUCCAUUGCUGCUUGAGACCUAUUGAAAAGAUCAGCCACCCUUGAAAGGUUACCUCUAGCACGUAUAACUUGUGUCUGCCCACCCCCCAAAACCUGUGUGGAAAUCUUAGCAUCUGUCCUGUGUAUGUGGCCUCAUUUGGAAAUGGGACCCUUUAUGGUUUGGGCAGUAGUGUGAGUGUCCCCCAAAGGUUCAUGUGUUAAGGGCCUCAUCCCCAGAAUUUUAUAUUACUGGAUUAAGGAUCCAACUUGAUCCAGUUGUGUCGGAAGCUGGGGCCUUUGGGAAGUGAUUGGAUUGUACUGGGAGACAGGGAGAACCUUGUGCUUGAGUCAGGAUGGCUUCAGGAGGGGAGACCACACGGAUGAGCAUGGUCCCUGUCUCUGCUUCCUGGCUCGCCACCGUGUCACUCUCCCUCCACAUCCACUGCCCUCCACAGAGGCCAGAACCGUAGAGCCACCUGAUCUUGGACUGCAAACCCCCAAAACCAUGGGUCAAAAUAAACCUUCCUCCUCUCGGGUGUGUUAGUUGUGAUAACAAAAAGCUAACACCAGGUCUUUGUGGAUAUAAUGAAAUUAAAAUGAAGUAGCUGGUGUCUGUGUAUGAAAGAGAGGUUCGGAGACAGACACUGGGAAGACAGCCAUGUGAAAACCAAGAUGGAGACGGCAGCACUGCGGCUGCCGGGUGCCAGGGCCCACCAAAGACCACCAGCAAACAGAAGCUGAGAAGAGGCAGGGAAGGGUUGUUUCCUGGAGACUUCAAUGCAGUGCAGCACCACUGAUGCCUUGAUCUUGAACUUCCAGCGUCCAGCGCUGGGAGGGGAUAUGUGUCUGUCGUUUUAAGCCAGCCAGUUGGUGGUACUUUUCCACAGCGGCCACUGGAAAUGAAUCCAGCAGGUCCGAGCGCUCAAGCUGUCCAGCUCUCCCAUCGUCCAUUGCUUCCUUAUGCUGUUGGAGUCAUGGCCAUUUGCAAGCAGCCCCUGGCCUCUUGGCAUGGGAUGGGGACGCGCAUUGUUGUGACUGACACCUGGCCUCUGCCUUCUGCCUCUACUCAGCCCUCGCUGUUCUGGAAACUGGGGAGUAAACGAACAAACGGAUGGGCCGGCAUUGUGGUGUAGUGCUUUAAGUCGCCGCCUGUGAUACUGGCAUCCCGUAUGAGCGCCAGUUUGAGUCCCAGCUGCUCCACUGCUGAUCCAGCUCCCUGCUAAUGCACCUGGGAAAGCAGCAGAAGAUAGUCCAAGUGCUUGGACCCUUGCACCCACGCGGAAGAUCCAGAUGAGGCUCCUGGCUUCUGUAUGGUCUUGCCUUGUUCAUUGUGGCCUUUUGGGGAGUAAACCAGCAGAUGGAAGAUCUCUCCCUCUGUAAC